AAACACAAUGAAGCAAUGCCUUCAAAACUCUAAGAGGAAAGGAUUUCCAUGCUAGAUUUCAUACCCUGCCAAACUACCAAUAAAUUAUUAGAAUGAAAUAAAGAUAUUUUUUGAGAUUAAAGGUCUAAAAACUUACAACCAGGCAUCCAAGAAGCUACUGAUGAUGUACUUCACAAACAUGAAAGAGUAAACCAAGAGAUGGGAAAACCUGGCAUACAAAUGCAGAGGAUCCAACACAGGAAAGAGAUCAAGAGAAUAUCACAGAAGAUGUAAAUAUGAUGAAGAGAUGAACUAAUUCAAACUGAAGUGGUAUGACUUGAGACAGGUACAGUGAGGAGUGUUAUCAUCAAGCUAUCUUCAGUCAUCACAUUCUCAUUAUCUGGAGGAAAAUAUUCUCAGGCAAGCCUGGCUCAGAUUCUUGUCUGUAUUUGGCUGGGCUUGGUCAUGUGCUAAUGAAGUUUCUCCCCUCCUCUCCAUUCCCUACAGCCAGGAUCAGCUGAGGACACCCACAAGAAAUAUUCUGAUUUGCCGAUUCCUGAGAGCUGAUGGGGGCCAUGAUAUCAACUAUGCUGAAUAAAAAUGGUAAGGUUGGAGCCAAGAUGGUGGCAUGAGUAGAGCAGGGGAAAUCUCCUCCCAAAACCACAUAUAUUUUUGAAAAUGCAACAAAGACAACUCUUCCUAAAAGAGACCAGAAGACACAGGACAACAGCCAGACUACAUCCACACCUGCGAGAACCCAGCACCUUGCAAAGGGGCUACUUGAGAAUAUGCUUCACCAAUGUGUGGGAGUAAACCAAGGAAAACGGAAAUGACAGGAUUUAACUGGAAACAGAUCUGACAUGAGAGACAAAGGAAUCUUCAGGUCACAUGGAAUAUAAU